AGGAGGAAGAGGGAUAGGCAGAGGCUUAUUAUAUCCCUAUUUUGUAGUGUUUGAAUUUUUACCUGUGCCUGCAUACUUUCUUUAAGAAUAAUUUAAGAAUAUAUAAAUACAGCCAGCUAUUGUCUGGGGGGUACUCUGCCUCACAACUCCUGUGCUAUAACUUUCCUAAUUUCCAGAGAUAGAAACCCCAAAACUACAUUUCCCAGGUUCCCUUGUCAAAUACAGCCCAAUUAGCUUCUGCCAGGGAGGCCAAUGAGUGAGAGCUGCAGGUGGGAGGAAAGAGGAGGCUUUGCUGCUGCUGACAGCUCCUCUACCAGCCACAGGGCUAACUGGGGUCGUGGUUUCCAUCACAAGGCCAGGGCCAGUAUCACUUCCUUAUCUCUCAGUAACACUAUCUUCCCAUUUUUGUCCCUCUAGCCUUUUCAACAAAUUUGAUCUCUUGCAAUGACUCGAAAGGAAUUGAAGAGGAGGAUAUUGGGAGAAUUUGGAUAAAUCUGAGAACCUGGGACCCAUAUUCAACCCAAGCCUUUCCUUGCUUGAAGACCACCAUAAGAACCUUAAAGGAAAGGGUGGAGGGGGAUUCUCCCUCUUCCCCAACGAUAUUGAGGACAGAGCCCAGGCUGAGAGACCUAAACAUGUUGGAGGGAAUUUCUCGUGGUGAUUUUAGGUAAGGAAAAUGGUGGUGAUUAACCUCCUAGCCUUUAGGUAAAGACUAGACUGCCCAGGACUGUGACUGAAAUAGAAGAGGAGAUCACAUCACGGAGAAUUAUAUACAGCGACCGAUGGGAUUUGUGUCUCCCUUUUUAGGGAAUGAGAUGAGAACUUGUAAGAAGGAGUUUUACACAUAUUGACAGAAGCAAGAUGUUGUUAUCAUUGUGUGGAAAGUCAACAAAUGUGCCCACCAAAAACUGCUACCUGAUAUUCUUGAUGACCUCAGGGCUCACGUUUCUUAUCGAAACAUUUUAUCAUUCUUUCCUCUCAUUCUUAUUCUUUCCUCUCCCGCCUCUCCAUUGACUCUUUCCAAAUAGGGGAAAGGCCUGUUUGAAUUUAUGAAAAUUAAAAUUUCACCAAAUUGUAUUAUGACUUUCCAACCAGAA